CCCCCCUCCCCUCCGGCGGCCUCCGCAGAGCUCUGACCGGCCGGAGUGGCUGGCUCUCCAGGCUUCCUUUCUACCUGCCCGCUCUAGCUCCGCAGUCCCCCCUCCCAACUCCACUCGCGACCGCGAGAACCCCUCCCUCCCCCGCGAGUCCCUAGUAACCUUGGAACUAACUUAACACUUUCCCCCAGGUCUGGUCUUAGCCUUUGCCCUACGGCUCGGCUUCCUAAAGCCUCCAGGUCCCCAAACUUUUAUAGUAAUCGUGGACUAAAAACUCUGUCCUUGACCAAGCCCAUGCCCUCCCAGGAUGCUGCCACCACCCGUCGCCCCUCAGGGCUUCUUAAGGAGGUGGAUUUGUAACCGAAAGGCCCAGAUUUGCUGAAGACUCAGGUUCUCAGCAGAAUGGUUGAGUGAUCAGAAAGGCUCCACAACUGAACUCUGUCAAGGUAUUACUAUAAAUCCUGUUACAGUGUGUGCCUAUAGACACCUGCCUGGACGAGCGGGCAGGCAGCUUCAAACAGCCAUCCUUUUCUUCUCCCAACCUCCAGAGAGCUUGCUUAUUCAGCUAUGCCCCGAACCUCGCUGUCUUUAAUGGGAAGAUCUGAUACUUAGCAGACAAACUAGCCUCUGUCUUGUUAAUACUGAUAAUCUCUUAGAUACAGAGCACAGCUGUUCCACAGUGAGUGGGAUGGAGAGAAACCACGUCAGUAAAAGGCCCAGAGAAUCCACGCUUGCAAUUUGUAAAACAAGAGCUAUCGUUAGACCAUAUUGGGCAGAGCCCUGAUACUCAAGGUCUCUGGAGGGAUGGGAAGACUGUUGAGAUCCGGAGAGGAGGGAGGGUCAAUUCUGUGCUCUUUCGCAAGAGCUGAUGGGAACAAUAGAGAAGUACUUGAGCUUCCCUUCACCUUUCCAACGUCUGUGAUGAGUUUUUAACAAGGGUGGGGUAUUCUUGGUAAUGAACUAGUCCUAUAAGCCUUUUUAGACAUUUCAGAGGCGAUAAACAGAGCUGAAUACAGAUGAAGAAAUCUGAAGGCAGACUGCAGAGAGAUUCUGCAGGAAGAUUAUCCCAAAUCCAGGAAUUAGAGGCUGGACGGGAACUCAUUAUCUGUUGAUUCAGCCCUUCUGCUUUCGUAUGCUGGACUGCGUCUCACUGGUGUUCAGAAAGCUCAUCUUGUCUGCAGCUAGUCUCUAACAACUGAACAGCGAACAAGUAUAUUUUCUCUUUUGUUUGAACACAUGGCUCUAUAUUAAAUGACUGUUUGGAGAGUCACACCAGGGACUUGUGAGCCAAAAAUACUGCCCUUCCAGUGAGUUCAAAAUACUGUCUUUCAAAUAAAGGUACCUUUUGGAAUAUUGCUAAGAAUUUCAAAAUUUGAAUUUUAAUGACAUUUCCUUUGUGAAGAGCAGUCAUUGAGGACUUGACCUUUUGGGAUGUCUUCUGUUUCUCAAACCAUAGAAGACAUUUUUGUAAGCAAACAAUCCUUUUCUGUGAUCUUUUAUUGUAUAUUAAUAGCAAUUUCUAUUUACUCAAAGCACUUUUUAUGCAUGUAUCAUGUGUUAGCCCUUCGUCCUAGACACUGGGCACAUAGUAAUACUCCAGAAGAGCAAUAAUCCCUGUCCUCACGGAGUCAGAUAAUAAACUGCAUGUAUAAAUCAUUA